UCCGAGGGCACUCCGAGGGCGCUCGGAGUGAAAUAUGGAAAAAAAUUCAAGAUGGCUGCGUUAUUAGAACCAAUUGUUGUGGAAUUUCUUGAUUUAAUUGAUGAAGUAUUUCUAGAAAAUGAAGAAAGAAACGUUGCCAGGGACCCACGUCGGUAUUUGAGGGAUUUUAAAAAUCCACUGGAGUGGUUUAGUGACGUGCUGUUCAGACGACGAUAUCGUUUUACCAAGGAUCUUGUUCGGCAUCACAUUCUGCCUUUGCUAGUGUUUGAAGAACCACGGAGUCGUCGAGGAUUACCGCUACCGCCUGUCCUGCAGCUGCUAAUUGCCUUGCGAUUUUACGCAACAGGCACUUUCCAGAUGGUGGCAGGCGAGUUAACAGGCGUUAGCGAGUCCACAGUUUCCCGAAUUAUCAGACGUAUCUCUGUCGGUUUAGCGCAACAUACUCAACAUCUGAUACGGUUUCCCACUGGCGAUGAAUUUCGAUUGAACAAGCUACGAUUUUAACACUUUCCCGGUGUUACAGGAGUGACUGCACCCACAUAAAAAUCAAAAGCCCCGGCGGUGCUCGGGGGGAAGUAUACAGGUAGGCCAACAAUGAUGUGCCAAUCCCACCAGUUCCUCUUCGACCUGGGCGCGCCAUGGCCAUCAGGAACGAGUUCAUCAUCCGGCAUUUCAAUUAGCUGUAUUUUAUGAUUUUUGCACUCAUUGUUAUGGCUACUUAUGAAUAAUUCAAUGAUAUAUCUUCAUUUGUUGCUAAGCCAUUCCAUUGCAUUUCCUUUAAUCCUUCACAUACCUACAGGCCCUGGCAUUUUGUUUCCAACUUGUAAACAAAUUUCAAUUAAAUUAAGAAAUUUUACAUGAACUUUCUAAUAAUGCAGCCUUUUACAAAUGUCUGAGUAAAGAAGUACAUUUGGUUAUAUUUUUGCUUUUUGAUUCUUUUGUAUUUUAACUUGAUGAAAUAGGUAAUGUUUUGUUAAAAGUAUUAUUGUGCAAACAUAUUUAUGUUGUUUCAAGUUUCAUUUUGUUCACUUACCUAUGAUAUAGGAUUGUAUUGCAGGAUCUUAUUUCAUUUUACUUUUGUUUAGUCAAAAUGGUUUAUAUCUUAAGAAAGAAAAGUAAUAUCAAAUAUAUUUGUUUAAAAACAUGUAGAUAUACAGGUGUGGUGAAAAUAGGUAGUAAACUGUGAAUUCAACUAUUAUGCAAAAACAUUGGGAAUCAGUGGGUAAAAACUGGUUUCAUUAUUGAAAUACUCUCAAUGUGUUGGGUAAGAAUGUUUCCAAAUGGAACAUUGAAAAUUAGUUGAUUGUUUUGCUGUUCCUGUUGCUGCCGCCAGUCGUGGCUCCACUCAAGUGCUUGGUGCUGCCCCUCAGCGGCAACGUGGAGUUCCAGCCCCUCGUGUGCCAGCAGUUAGUGGGCUGGCAGGGAUUCUGUUGUCUCUACAUCCUCGACGGGCAUGACCAGGAACAUUCAAACAUGCAGGAAUUACAUCAUAUUGAAGAUAAUUUAUUAUUUAAUGAUUUUGCAUGUUAUUUAGACAAACACAUUUCAGGGAAAUUGUGGGCAAACUUUGCCUAGGCUUGUAGUAAGCACUCAUGUGGUUUACCAUUGAACUACCCUUGUUUGUUUAAAAAAAAUAACAAUAUUCUUCUACAAUGUUUUUUAUUUUUGACAAGAAGGGUAAAGUUAUGAAAAUACAAAAGUACAGCUACAAAUCUUUUAAAUGCAUUGCCAAAAGCAAAGAUUUUACAUUUUAAAAUUUUCCUUGUUACAGUUGUUUUAAUUGUUUAAUAAUCAUGCAUUAAUACAUAAAAAGAUAAUAUCAAGAAAUAUUGUUAUGGAACCUAUUGAACUAUAACAUUUUAAUGUAUAUACCGUAUUUACUCGUGUAUAGCGCGCCCUCGUGUAUAGCGCGCACCACGAUUUUUGCAACUAAUUCCAAAGAAAAAAAAAAUUGAAAUUUUUUUUUCCCCCAUAAAUAAAUUUUACUAACAUUUUGUGGUACCUGAUUAUUUAAAUUGAUGUGUGGUGAUGCGUCAGGAAAAUACAUAAACUCUGCUGUCUAAACGGAAGAUAAUGAAGCGCUAUAUCGUCACAACUGGUACGUGGAAGGAAGGAAGGGAGGGAGGCGUGCCGCGCUACGUUGCUAAGCUGGCGCGGAGAACUUGACUCACCGGUGAGGAAUGGAGGAAGCGAAGAAGUUGCCGGGGGGGGGGGGGGGGGGGGGAACUGGUGACAAAAUUCUCUCUUUCUCUCUCUCUCUUUUUACUAGCUUCUGAGCUGGCUUUCUGUAAAGGGGGGAGGUCUAAAAAUAAACAAGAGACCAUGAUGUGCGAGCUUGCGCGCGCACGUGUGCGUGUGUGUGUGUGUGUGUGUGUGUGUGAAACAGAGGCCUUGUUGCUUGUGCGUAUGUGUGGGGGCUGGCCAGAAACGUCACCCGUCACCCGGCAGUUAACGACUUCCACUCCUCCCCGCCUCCCCCCACCAAAAAUUUUUUUUCCCGUGUAUAGCGCGCAUCCUUAUUUUUUUUCCUUUACUUGAGGGGAAAAAAGGGCGCGCUAUACACGAGUAUAUACGGUAUAUAAUUGAUUGUGUAGUGUAUGUUAUUUCUUGUGGCAACAAUUUUUAAGUUGUUAAUUUUAUUCACGAUCUUAGUAUUUCAAUACUAUUAACACAAAUCACAACAUAGUACACAGUGUUAAAAGCCCUUCAUAAUUCUUGUACAUUUCUGUCUGAUGUUUCUCUGGAGACCUUUAGCCAUAUCUGUUUAAGAUCUGAUAUUGACUGCUACUAUGUAUGUAUUUCAUGUAUUUAUAAUAUGGUUACAAAAUACAAAAUACUUUAUGGUCACCUUUGCAUGUUAUUAUUUAUUUAAAUUGUUACUUUUAUUUAAAUGCUCUGCCACACACAUUAAUUUAUAUUGCAUGCCGUAUGUAAUUUCCAUCAGCUAAAACAUUUCAUGUACACAUACAUGUACAUUACAUACAUAUUUCACAUACCGCUACUUUAUGUUUAUUACUUUCAGUAUGCAUCUGAAAAUGUUCAAUUUCUGUGAGUUGAUGUUUUUGGAUUUUGAAUUACGGGAUGUGGUAUUAAUGUGUGUUUCGUACCCCUUUGAGUAAACCUGACAUGUUAUUGUAACUCAUUCUGGCUCAUACGUUUUGUGAUUCAGCACACCCUGUUUUAUUUUUUUUAAUAUGUGUGUGUGUGUGUGUGAUGCAUUAUUUGUACACAAUUGUUACAAAAAUACAAUUAAUUGUAAUUAUUUUCUUCACAAUACUGGAAUUAUAAUAACUACUUUCAAUAGUCGUAAGCAAUCUUUAAUUUGUACAUUAAGUAAAACAAAUGAUCUAUUAUUCAGAAUCACUAAAAAUUACAAUAAAUAUGCAAGUUUCUUUCCUGUAUUAGAUAGCACAAUAAAAUUUAAAAAAAAAUACAACUAUACAUAACUUGAUUUUUUUUUUUGUGGUUAAUUAUUAUAUUGUUUCAAGUUAGUUUUCUUCUUUCCUGAAUUAUAUUUGUAAAGAAAUUAUUUACUAAUUGCUAAAUGUUGCAUGUUGUGUGUAUUGUUUUUGUUUUGUUGUCUUGUAUUUUGUACUGUUUUGUUUUGUCUGUAUGUAUCUGUGUUUGUAUCGUGCCUACCACCCAAGGCCAUAAGCUGUAGGUAGGCACGCAACAAAUAUUAAAUAAAUAAAAUAAAUAAUA